rnacentral:rRNA from 1 species
UACGUAGGGUGCAAGCGUUGUCCGGAAUUAUUGGGCGUAAAGAGCUCGUAGGCGGUUUGUCGCGUCGAAUGUGAAAACCCGGGGCUCAACUCCGGGCCUGCAUUCGAUACGGGCAGACUAGAGUUCGGUAGGGGAGACUGGAAUUCCUGGUGUAGCGGUGAAAUGCGCAGAUAUCAGGAGGAACACCGGUGGCGAAGGCGGG